AUGAAGUCUGUGGGAGGCGGGACAAGAAGCGAGCCAUUCAUGGCUUCCUUGCUUGGUUACGCUUGUUGGCUUUUUUUCUCCUUGAUGGAAAAUGGAUGGAAGGCCAACGAGUCCGUCUGGCUCAACGGGUCCGGGACUGUCGUCUACAUUGUCUAUCUGCUGAUGUUUCUCUGGUACAUGGACGCAGCCAAUCGAUGGAUUACAGUCGAGUGGUGGGUUCCCGGCGCCGUGUUGUACCUGUGUGCCGCAGCAAUCUUUGGAGUUCUGGCCGGUUGGACCUGGGUCUUCAAGGUGAUGUGCACGCUGGCUGGACUGGCCUCCGCGUCCGCAUCACUCGUGCUGACUGUGUUUGUGCUCGAGAGGAAGGUGGAGUUUUUGCCUGAUUGUGUGUCCACGACAGUGAGCCUACUUCACUAUUGCGUGUGGAUCGCUCGUGACGCUAUCGACCCAAGAGAUUACUUUGAUAUGGUCCAAAAUGUUUGCGGCUUUGGUUGCUGCUUGGCUUUCCUCACCCUGCCGUUCCUGCCCUUCUUCUGGACGGGGGAUGGGACGCGGGCCAAGCCAACACUGGCAGAUGAGGACGACCCCAACAGGCCACUUAUCUCUCUGCCUGGCGAACCACCCGCACCGCUGCAUCAGCCGCUGACCGCCGUCAACCCGCAUGCUGAUGAGCUCGUCAACCUGCCGGCCACCAAUGUGUUCCAGGAGCCCAGGAGGGCGGGUUCGGCUCCAUCCACACCGAAGAACCAAGUUGAUGAUACACGCAGGGUGGUUUCGGCUCCAUCCACACCGAAUUAG
rnacentral:rRNA from 1 species